GAUGAAGAACGUAGCGAAAUGCGAUAAGUGAUGUGAAUUGCAGAAUUCAGUGAAUCAUCGAAUCUUUGAACGCACAUUGCGCCCGCUGGUAUUCCGGCGGGCAUGCCUGUUCGAGCGUCAUUUCAACCCUCAAGCUCUCCGGAGUUUGGUGUUGGGGCGCCUGGGGCUUUUCGACCUCAGGGCCCUCAAGUCCAUCGGCGGGACCGCCAGGACACUGAGCGCAGUAGUAUUAUUUCGCUCGGUAGGAUCUUCCACGGCGGGUCGAUCUGGCCGCUAAACCCCCCAAUUCUCACCAAAGGUUGACCUCGGAUCAGGUAGGAAUACCCGCUGAACUUAAGCAUAUCAAUAAGCGGAGGA
rnacentral:misc_RNA from 1 species